AGGAAAGAAGGGGCAGCCCAGCUAUUGAACAUCCUCAGAGACAAAAGGCUCUGAUUUCUGAUGGUCACUAUAGCAACAGGAAGCAAAGAGAUGAAGAACUGGAAAACAUGCACUUCACUAUGACAAGUUCAAUUUACAGCCAGCUCAGCAAGGAAACCUUUCUUGACUCCACGUUCAGGUGUUGGAGGAUGUGGAGCUGUUGGUGCCUGAGAUCUGAGCACAGCCCAAAUGAGACAGGAGAGAGCUGAGGAGGAGAAAAGUUCUGGGGACUUCAGCCGUCCUUGGUGGGAUUGGAGUCCCAGAAGAGGAGAAGAUAAAAGGAGCAGGUAGGAGAUGAAUGCAAGUAGGAUCUGAUGCCAUAGGCAGGUGUGAGGCAGAGAGAGAAAAGGAG
rnacentral:lncRNA from 1 species